GGAGGGUGGGAGAGGAGGGAGAGCAGAAACGUGUAAUCACCCAAACAACCGUUUUUACCCGUUUCACCCCCUCUGGAUCUGUGUCGCAAGGUGAGAAAAGGGCUGCUUGGGCUUCCACGCUGGCCCUCGCUGCAUCACAAAGUGCACAGGCAGACUUCGGUAACAACUCCUCUCCUCUAUUCUUACACCCCGCAGUCCGCUGUGAGCCUGUCUGCCUUUCACUGCGGAUAUCGUGGAGGGAGGCCGGAGCGUGAAGAAGACACCAGAGAGGUGUGUGGCAUGUGGAAAAGUGUGCAGACACGAUCAACAUGUGACUUAUCCUAAAAACGCUCUUGAACAAUUGCCUUGCUAAUCACAUUAUGGAUACAGUAAGCUCAACAAAUUGGAGAAGAAAUGUGAUCCCUCGGAAUAGAAGAAAUCAGCUUUAAGUGGUAUGUAGUUUAUUUGGGACUUUUUUUUACUUGAAAAGUGCACAAAAAUAUGAUCCCCACUUAUAUAUUCUUAUAUGUUCUAUCAGAAUUCAUAAGCAUAAUUAUACGCACAGGUGACAAAUGAAAGGGAAAGACGACAUCAAGUGUCGAACAUGCUGUUGAACAAUGGGUUGUAAUGAAGUUGUAAUGAAGGGUUUUCUAAAUCGAUAUAGUAACGUCACACAAGAAUGUAAAAGAGCUAUGUCCAUCAAUAUUGAAAUAAUGUUUUUAUUAAGCCUUUUCAACUUCUUAACUUUUUUGUUCAAACCCAUGUUACUUGGUGUUCUUCAUGUGUUCUGCAUAUCAUAUAACCUUGAGCCGCCAGCCUUAAGAGAUGAGAAAUGGGCCACAGAGUUUUCAGUUUGUUCUAACUAUGCACCUCCUAGAUUUUCUGAUCCUUGCACACUUGCAGCCCCAACCAGUGCUCACACAAGUGAGGAAAUUUAUCAGACUUUGUACAGCUCCCUCUGGAGGGAGUAGUAUAUGUAGUAAUAAACAGAGUUUAAUGUGUCCAAUCAUAUAAGAUAAACACAGGGGCGGCAAAGGUUCCUCCUCAUGUUUUGUUGAUGGAAACGCAUACAUGAUCACGCAAACACACACACGCACACGC